CAGUAGCCGCGGGAAUACGAAGGGUGCAAGCGUUACUCGGAAUUACUGGGCGUAAAGCGUGCGUAGGUGGUGGUUUAAGUCCGUUGUGAAAGCCCUGGGCUCAACCUGGGAAUUGCAGUGGAUACUGGGUCACUAGAGCGUGGUAGAGGAUAGUGGAAUUUCCGGUGUAGCAGUGAAAUGCGUAGAGAUCGGAAGGAACAUCUGUGGCGAAGGCGACUAUCUGGGCCAACACUGACACUGAGGCACGAAAGCGUGGGGAGCAAACAGGAUUAGAUACCCCGGUAGUCCCUGUCUCUUAUAC
rnacentral:rRNA from 1 species